CUUUUUGGAGAGUUUGAUCCUGGCUCAGGACGAACGCUGGCGGCGUGCCUAAUACAUGCAAGUCGAGCGGACCUCUUCGGAGGUCAGCGGCGGACGGGUGAGUAACACGUGGGCAACCUGCCUGUAAGACUGGGAUAACUCCGGGAAACCGGAG
rnacentral:rRNA from 1 species